GACGUAGGGCGCGAGCGUUGUCCGGAUUUAUUGGGCGUAAAGAGCUCGUAGGCGGCUUGUUGCGUCAGCUGUGAAAACCCGCAGCUCAACUGUGGGCUUGCAGCUGAUACGGGCAGGCUUGAGUUCGGUAGGGGAGACUGGAAUUCCUGGUGUAGCGGUGAAAUGCGCAGAUAUCAGGAAGAACACCCGUGGCGAAGGCGGCUUUCUGGGACGGUACUGACGCUGAGACGCGAAAGCGUGGGGAGCGAACAGG
rnacentral:rRNA from 1 species